AUGCCGCGCGGCCGCGACAAGCCGGCCACCGUACGCGUCUACACAGUAUGCGACGAGUCCAAGUACCUCAUCGUCCGGAACGUGCCUUCGCUCGGGUGCGGCGACGAGCUCGGCACCCUAUUCUCGUCGUACGGGCCGCUGGAAGAGUGCAAGGCCAUGGAUGCCGAGGACUGCGAGGAGUACACCGACGUCUUCUUCAUCAAGUUCUCGCAGGUCAGCAACGCGAGGUUCGCAAAAAGGAAGUUAGAUGAGUCUGUAUUUCUUGGCAACCGGCUGCAGGUGUCAUAUGCACCUCAAUUUGAGAGUAUUUUGGAUACCAAGGAGAAACUGGAAGUCCGGAGAAAGGAAGUCCUCGGCCGAAUAAGAUCCUCUGUUGGAAGCAGAUCAGAACGGUUAACUCAGUAUUCUCCAGGGCAGGGAUCUUCUAGUGGGAACUUGCAUCAUCAUAUGAGCCCCAAUAAGAGGGAAUACACAAAGACACUUCAUGCUUCUCAUAUCGAAGAUGUUCGUUUCAGUCAUGUGUCCUCUAAUAAGGACUAUUUUCCAUCCGAGUCGAUGAUUGCAACUGUAAAUCUUGUGAGGCAGAAGCUUGAUAAGAUACAGUCCGGCAGUGAUGGUUCCAAUGCUGUAGCUGCGUCCAAGAAACCAAAGGGUCGAUGA
rnacentral:rRNA from 1 species